AUCCAGCUGACUAGUUUCAAACAUGACGAAAUGCAUGUCCUGGAU
rnacentral:hammerhead_ribozyme from 1 species